rnacentral:lncRNA from 1 species
CAGGGAAGAAAAAAGACAGCAAAAAAUCGAGGUUGGACUUGCCUGAAAUUUGCUCAAGAAGCGAGUUACAUAUAAAAAAGCAAUGGACAAGUUCCCGUUCCGAUAUUUAGAUUGUCUUCCAAACAAAAGUCGGUGUUGUUCAACUGGGUGGCAUCAAAAGUGAAGUUCCCCGAUGUGUAUGUUUCAAAUCUAUCUAGAUGUGUUGAAAAGGGUCAAAAGUUCUCCGGGAUGAAGAGUCAUGAUUGUCAUGUCUUUAUGCAACGACUACUUCCCUUUGCAUUUGUGGAGCUACUUCCAACAAAUGUACAUGAAGCACUUGCUGGUAAUAUAUUACGCAUUAACUUCUUUAUUACUUUAUAAUAUGCACAAAUAAAUAAUAUGACUAAUAAUUUGUUUAAUUGAAAUAUACAAGGCAUUGGAGCAUUUUUCAGGGAUCUCAGCACACGCACUCUUAAAGAGAACGUCAUAGAACAACUUCAUGAUUGUCAUGUCUUUAUGCAACGACUACUUCCCUGACGCUCAUCCGAACUGGAAAUUGACGCCAGGCCACGUUAGAAAGACGUGGUUCAAAAUGUUCGCCAUAAGUUACUAUCAAUUAAUUAUAUAGACUUUUUUUUAUUACGACUUCUUAUUAUUUUUAAACUAAUUAUUAAUCUAGUUUUUUUCUUUUUACCGCAAAAAUAUCAUUGGUCCAUAGGGGUGAACGAGAGGGUGAAGAAAGCGUUUGAAGGGAAGGCGAAAGCUCGAUUGUUGGAGACGGUAUCUAUAGAUCCUAAAAUCUACACUAAGUAUUUGAUAGUGUUUGAUUGUAAAAACUAGGGAAGAAAUAACGUGGGCAACGAUAUCCUCAGAACACAACGAUAUAAUCAGGUCGGAGUCGUCGAAAAUGGACUAUAUUCGUAGGUCGAAUAUCAUAGAGAUAUCAGGAGAAGGAAGGAUCGUGACUGAACUCGGGAUCGAGCUGCCUACGUACCCGUCAAGGGAUCAAGUCAUAACGUGGUUCGAUUAUAAUCAUCUCGAAAAGAGAUGUCGGGUUUGUCAUUUCUUCGGAGGAGACGUCGGGUUCAUUCGUCUCUAAUAGACGUCGGGGGUUCAUCUCUUGUCACCCCGUAUGAGAUGUCGUUUGUGUACAAUCACUGAAUCUUGAGAAUAUAUAGAGGUUGAACCCUAAAUGUCUUUAAGGUUUGAUAUAGAUCAAUAAGGACAUGUCUUGUUCUUCAUAAUGAUCGGAGUUCGACGUCGCGAGAUCUUCACUAUGAAGACGUCAUGAUCCGUUUGCUUGGUGAUGGCUCACGAAGUGGCCUCUUGGUCGUUGCUUUUGUUAUCAAGUGGAGAGGAUUAUGGGAAAGGCACGUGUAGUCUCUUGUUCUUCUUCAGGUCC